UCUCUCUGAAUCUGCGAACGGCUCCGCAAACCAGUUGUAAACUAUAGCAAGCAAGCCUUGUGCCUGCCUUCACGGGUGGGCGCUUGGCGAUAUGGAUAACCCUGGUAAUUCUGAGGCUAAUACAAGAACGUAAAACCUGGCUGACUGCUCUCGUGGAAGGCUGGGGGACGUGCGAGUUGUGUCGCGAGAAUUUUCCGGGAAUGGACGCACGUUCAGACCGCGCUAAAAAGGAUCGGCUUCCCUUCACGGGGGGGCUGGCCCCAGCGGCUCUUGCUUUGUGCUUCUGACCUAUCAACUAGAUGGCAGCGUAACGGACAUGCUAUGGUGACAACGGGUACAGAGGAUUAGGGUUUGAUCCUGGAGAGUGGGCCUGAGAGAUU
rnacentral:rRNA from 1 species